rnacentral:sRNA from 1 species
ACACAACACAAUAACCUUUGACCCAAAUGUUUUUCCUCAGGCAUUGGCAUCUACAUAUUGCUUCAUGAAUCUACUGGAGGAAUUAUGUUAAAAGGCAUGACUAAAUCAAGAGAUGAGGGCAAAGGAUACAGUCUGUGACCUGCGACCACAGUACUGAGGGGUUACAAUAAAGAGAUUGCCCUGAAUCUCAGAAGAGGCUUUAAAAAUUUAAGCAGUUUUCAGAUUGUGAAAGACUACAGAAUAUACCACAAGGACCAUUUGACUGUCCCCUCUGGCUUCUGCAUCUUGCUUCCAGCAUGAACAGACAGCUGCUGAAGUGCCCACCAGAACAUUCAGGGGAGCCCUUCUCCCUCCCACCCCUGACACCUGCCAGGAAAAUGCUGCAUUAUUCAUCAGGAGCUAAUGGCAGGUGCCUACGAGUAACGGCAUGUGUGCGGAAGCCAGAGAAUGGCUCGCCAGCAUUGGAUCUCUUCUUCUAUCACGUGGGUCCGGGGACCAAAGUCAGGUUGUCAUGCUUGACAGUGUACAACUUUCCUUUCUAAGAUAGGAAUCUGCCUUUUGGAGUCUUGAAUUACUUGAUGGCAGAGGACAGCAGGUGCCAGAAAACAGAGAGCUGCCCAGGGAGACUGUGCUCCAGGCACUUUGGGCUUCAUGUUUCAUCUUGCCCACGCGUGUAAGGGCACCAGUGGCAGCCAGCGGCUGGUCUGCUCUGCAGGCUGUGGAGCCAGGGAGGCGAGCUCGUGCUGCUGCCAUCUCAGAGCCACUUAACGGCUGCCACUGCUGUCGCUGUCGCCACAGAAAUGGGCUGGCUGUUGCUGUCAGACUGAUGGAGGGGUGCAAACCCACCAGAUUUUAUGACUGUUUUAUAUCCACUUUCAACCUUAAACAACUAUAUUAAGUGCUCUUUGGGCUAGGCUGAAAAGCUUAAGGAACCUCAUUACAGAAUUAAUUAUCAUGGCAUUUUAUGAAGGGGAAAGAUGAAUCCAGCUGGGAGACGCCUGCCCUGAUUGCUGCCGGGGCUAGUGUGACUUCAGUUACUGCCAGGGGUGCAUUUUGUGGGAUUGGACAGACAUACUUUUCAAGACAGGAAAGUGGAAGGGGCAGAGAGGAAAACAACAAUAAAAUGCCACCGAUCACUUUACUUUUUGAAAUUGUAAAUCACAUAUAAUAAAAGAGAAAUUGAAACACGAAGAGACAAAGACUUUAUUUAUUGUUGAGAGAGGGCUAUUAGGAUGCUGGGCUGUGUUUCCAUGGCACUGUGGAGACAUAAACAGAAAACACAGGCUAAUGC